CCUACGGGAGGCAGCAGUGAGGAAUAUUGGUCAAUGGAGGCAACUCUGAACCAGCCAUGCCGCGUGAAGGAUGACGGCCCUAUGGGUUGUAAACUUCUUUUGAAUAGGAAGAAACUUAUCUACGUGUAGAUAACUGACGGUACUAUUAGAAUAAGGAUCGGCUAACUCCGUGCCAGCAGCCGCGGUAAUAC
rnacentral:rRNA from 1 species